GAUGAACGCUGGCGGCGUGCUUAACACAUGCAAGUCGAACGGGAAUUACUUUAUUGAAACUUCGGUGGAUUUAAUUUAAUUCUAGUGGCGGACGGGUGAGUAACGCGUGGGUAACCUGCCUUGUACAGGGGGAUAACAGUCAGAAAUGACUGCUAAUACCGCAUAAGCGCACAGGACCGCAUGGUCCGGUGUGAAAAACUCCGGUGGUAUAAGAUGGACCCGCGUUGGAUUAGCUGGUUGGUGGGGUAACGGCCUACCAAGGCGACGAUCCAUAGCCGGCCUGAGAGGGUGAACGGCCACAUUGGGACUGAGACACGGCCCAGACUCCUACGGGAGGCAGCAGUGGGGAAUAUUGCACAAUGGGGGAAACCCUGAUGCAGCGACGCCGCGUGAAGGAAGAAGUAUCUCGGUAUGUAAACUUCUAUCAGCAGGGAAGAAAAUGACGGU
rnacentral:rRNA from 1 species